rnacentral:rRNA from 1 species
AUGAAUUCUUACAUUUCGAUCGUUUUUCUUUUAACAUUCCGUGUUUUUUGCAGUGACACACGUUGCACGCUCAUCCUCCUAAGCCCCAAAUAUUCCAUGGCCACGUAUUUCGACCCGGACCGUCAGUCAAACGUAGACUACACAAAUGUCAAGAAGGUUCUUGAUGAUGUUCUCCCCGGCUACGCCAAAUCUGGAGGCACCUUCACCAGGCCUAUUCGUAAGUACGGCAAGCACGUGUUCUCCCACAAUACGACGUUCUGCUGCGUCAAGCAGCCGCCUGGCAGUCAGAAGGGUGCCUACUACGCCAUCCAUCACAUGCGGGUGAUCGUACGGGACCAUCAUCAACUUCUGCUACCGAGUAAACUCAAAGAUUGGGCAAAGAGCGUGUCGGCAAUCCAGGACGCGGACCUCCGACAAGAAUUCUUUUGCAUCCAGUCGGAGUUUGCGGAAAUCAUCCAUCAAGAUGUCCUUCGUACCUCGGGGCAGUUCUACCUCAACAAUCAACCGUCCAACAGUGACAUCGACACAAUGCUACAAAUGCAGGCUGACAACGACCGUUAUUUCAUGACUCCCACGAUAGACGGCGGCUUCAUCCACGCUCCGGUCCCUUGA